UAUUUUUUGGAACAUAAGACACACCUAGGUUUUAGAGGAAGAAAACAGGAAAAAAUAUUUUGAAGCAAAAAAUGUGGUAAAAUAUUUAAUAACAUAAAUAACAUAAUAUUUCACCAAUGUAAAAGUAAACAGAACUCCACAACAGCAUUAAUAAUCAUUAUUCCUCCCAAAUUUGGGGCGAGGGGAGGAAAAUGGGGAAAAAA